GUGCCAGCAGCCGCGGUAAUACAGAGACCUCAAGCGUUAUCCGGAAUCAUUGGGCGUAAAGCGUACCGAUAGGUGGUUGAAAUAGUCUUGGGUAAAAGCCAGAAGCUCAACUUCUGAGUUUGCUUAAGAUACUUUUCGACUAGAGGGGCAAAGAGGUGCUUGGAACGAAUGGUGUAGUAGUGAAAUGCGUUGAUAUCAUUCGGAACACCGAAAGCGAAGGCAGAGCACUGGGUGCCACCUGACACUGCUAGGACGAAAGCGUGGGUAGCGAAUGGGAUUAGAUACCCCAGUAGUCC
rnacentral:rRNA from 1 species